AUGAUUGGCCAGUCUUGUCGCCAUCAUCUUUACCCAUAUUCAGCAGCUAUGCAAGCCCUUCAGUUGCAAUAUGGUCAACCACACCAACUGGCUCAGAGCGAGAUAGCAGCAAUCCUCACAGCCCCAGAGGUCAAACCAAAUGAUGCUCACAGCUUCCAGAGUUUCGCUCUUCGUGUACACCUCUUAGUGAGUAUGCUUUUGUCGUUGGAGGGUACCAGAGGGAUGGAGUUGAACUGUUGUUCACAUGUAGAUCGCUUACUCAGUAAACUGCCCAAGUACUUAAGAGAUGGCUUCAUAGAGUUUCUCCAGCUGAGAGGGAAGCUCAACUCCCCAAGUAUUAACCCGUACUACCUACAAGACUUUGCUGGAUGGCUCCAAGUCAAGGCUCAGCAACAGCGACUUUCCAGUAGGUUAGUGCAAUGUUACCAGUAUGAAAGAGCUCCCAGCAGUUCAAAAGAGAAGAAUGCAGCCAAACUGAAAAGCCAAAGUACAACCUUGUAUCAUGGUGUAUCACCCACAGAGACCAAAACAUUCUCCAGUCCUAAGGUGUCUUGGAAAAGAACAUCAUCCAAAGUUAUCUGCCUAUUCUGUGGCAGCAAGGAUCACUACAUCACUCGAUGCAGUAGUAUCAGAGAGCUGCCUGUUGCUGAACUUUGCAAGUGGAUUUCGGAGGAAAAGCGCUGCUGGAAAUGUGCUCGUUCCCAUGCCCCUGAGACCUGUAAUCUAAAGAAACCCUGCAGUGACUGUGGUGGUAUUCACCUUCAAGUGCUUCAUGGUGUGGCCCAAAGUCAUACAACCCUUCGUACCGUCCGACCAGACACUACUCACCUCAGUGGCACAAAGGUCACCUUUGAAAUCUCGCCAAGAAAUAACCCAGAGAAACGCUAUCAGGUGUUAGGAGCAUUUACAGCUUCUGGUCUUGAUCUGGUAGAACAGACAUACCCAGUUCAGGCUCUUCGGAGACGGUAUGCACAUCUAAGGGGAGUUCCACUACAGCCAUUUCACAAAGUGCAUCCGCUUGUACUCAUUGGUUCAGACCAAGUUCAUCUCAUUACUGCCAAAGAGCCAAUUUGUCAAGGCAACAAAGGUGGUCCAGUAGCAGUCCAUACAGCUCUCGGGUGGGCUCUUCAAGGAGCAGUAAUGUGUACCACAGACCAGGCACCAGUGCAGCAAUGUUUCUUUAUCUCCAGUGCUCACACAGAUGAUCUUCUCUACAGAAAUGUGGAAGAGUUAUGGCAACUGGACGUAUUGCCCUUUCGCAAAUGA
ensembl:lncRNA